UAAUAUUAAACGAAAGGAAUGAUGGGUGGACAAUGGAUAACUAACCUAAUUUUUAACAUUUGAAAUAGUAUAUUUCAGAUAAUAAAACUUAGGAUUAGUCUGCCCAUUUUUCUAUAUACUAAUUAGCUGUGAUGCUAACUAGCUGAAAGGCUAAAUAGCUUAUUUGAGUACGGCAAAAAUGCGAUUUGACUAAUCCUUCCAAAAUUGUUUGGGAGGAUUUUUUA
rnacentral:sRNA from 1 species